rnacentral:rRNA from 1 species
UACGUAGGGUCCGAGCGUUGUCCGGAAUUACUGGGCGUAAAGAGCUCGUAGGUGGUUUGUCGCGUUGUUCGUGAAAACUCACAGCUCAACUGUGGGCGUGCGGGCGAUACGGGCAGACUGGAGUACUGCAGGGGAGACUGGAAUUCCUGGUGUAGCGGUGGAAUGCGCAGAUAUCAGGAAGAACACCAAUGGCGAAAGCAGCUCUCUGGGACGGUACUGGACGCUGAGACGCGAAAGCGUGGGGAGCGAACAGG